AUUGAACGCUGGCGGCAUGCCUUACACAUGCAAGUCGAACGGCAGCACGGGUGCUUGCACCUGGUGGCGAGUGGCGAACGGGUGAGUAAUACAUCGGAACAUGUCCUGUAGUGGGGGAUAGCCCGGCGAAAGCCGGAUUAAUACCGCAUACGAACUACUGAUGAAAGCGGGGGACCUUCGGGCCUCGCGCUUUAGGGUUGGCCGAUGGCUGAUUAGCUAGUUGGUGGGGUAAAGGCCUACCAAGGCGACGAUCAGUAGCUGGUCUGAGAGGACGACCAGCCACACUGGGACUGAGACACGGCCCAGACUCCUACGGGAGGCAGCAGUGGGGAAUUUUGGACAAUGGGCGAAAGCCUGAUCCAGCAAUGCCGCGUGUGUGAAGAAGGCCUUCGGGUUGUAAAGCACUUUUGUCCGGAAAGAAAACCUUUGUCCUAAUCCGGGCGGGGGAUGACGGUACCGGAAGAAUAAGCACCGGCUAACUACGUG
rnacentral:rRNA from 1 species